rnacentral:lncRNA from 1 species
CAUUAAUCUUAUUUCUCACCAGCUCUGCAUGGCUGCAGAGGUUUUGGGUCUGCUCUUGCUCACUUGCACAAAAAGUAAUGGUGCUGUGGGUCAGACAGGAACUGGGAUAGGAGAGACCUUCCCUGUGUUUCAGGCUCCUGCUCCAUGCUGCAUGGUUCAGUGCUCUCUUUAGCAGUUUCACUGCCUCGGCUCCCCAGCCCAAGCCCAUACAAGAAACUAACAGGAAAGAAACCACGUCAGCAGUCUCCCACCGGGCUUUAUUCCCUGCAGGCUCUGUGCAUCAAAGGGCAGGCAGCAAAAUGGAGCAACCCAGUGCUCAGUAGGAGCAAAAAUAAGGGAAGAGGGGGUGAUCUCUCAUUAUGGGAUCUGUGCUUAUUGCUGGGGACCUCCUGUCUCACCCCAAACAAGCGACGCCCAUGGAGCUGCUCUCGAUUUCAUGUCUUGAUAACCACCAGCAGUGCUGCCGAAAGCAGGCACUGAAAGGAUUGGAGGGAAGAGCACCAGGAGAGAAGUCUUAUUUACAGCAUUAGGAGCAAAACAGCAUGAUGGAUGUGCCAGGGCAUCAUUUCAUCAGAAUAUCAAGCCGUGAGGUUGGCUACUGCCAUUCAUUCUUGUCAUUUGAAUCCUCUUGAUGUGUAAGAUGACAUUAAAAUCCCAAGAGAGAAAAAUGCUGCAGCUCUCCGCAUCGAAGCCCGGGACGGUGCGUUGCUGAAGGUGCCUUUGCUGAUCCAUCCUCCAAGGAUAACCCAUAGAGAACCAACCCAAGGACAGGACACAGUGACUUCAGAUCUCUCUGUGGGACACAUUGCAGCUGCUGGACAAGAGUGUUUCCCACCAUAGCCAGUGCCAUGGCAGACCCUGCACACUGUGCCUCUGUGGGAGGGAAUCCACCCCUAUGGGAGGGAAGCAGAACCAGGUGCAGGCUGCACCCUUCCUGUGGUUUGACCCAACCUGAGAUGCUCAGAGCCACGGACUGGGUGAGAGAAGCUGAACCCGCAGCUUUUCUUUUCUUUCCAGCAUGGCUUUGCACAGUGCUGCUCUUUUCCUUUUGAAGCACAGCGUUUCACCCACAGGGUGAUGGGGAGGUUGUGCAUUACUGGAAGGGAGAUUCAAUAAGGAAGACCUCAGUGCAGCUGUCACCAGCACUGUGGUGACACCGGGUGAGGGCUGCUGGGGGAGAUGCUCACCGGACAGAGGUACUUCCACAUCGCCCUGACCCUCUGUGUGAGGUUUGUACCUGCAGAGAAGAGGGCAGCUGGGAUUGCUGCAUUUGGGACAGCCAGCAUCCAGGCUGUGGGUUUUCUGCGUAAACCUUUUGUAAUCACACCGGGCAAACUGCAGCUUUAUUGGCUUUCCAGCUGCUCAGGCAGGUUGUGAAGUAAGAGGUUUCAGAUCAGCUGCUCCCAGCCCCUCAGACACCACACAGACCUCACUGCAGCGGCAGACAGGCAGCUAAGGAUGCUCAUAAAAGUCCAAAACCAUAUCCUUUCAGUCUGAGCAGCGUCACGUUUGAUAUCAGACCUUAUAUUUAUUAGUUCAGUUGUUUUUCGCUGUUGAAAAGUUUGUGUGCUCUCUGUUUUUCUCUCCGUUCACAUCGACAGAAAGUGAGAAAAUGGGAUCGUUCAGAAAGGACUACAGCAAAUAAUUCAGAGCUGCUGUGUGUCAUAUAUCUCACCAAGGCCCGACUUUCAAGCCAAAUAGAAAGAAAGUUAGCUGGGGGGGGGUGUAAAGCUUGAAUAGCACAUCACAGUGUAAAGUUUAUGAAUUAUUUUAAGUGCAGCCCAUGAAAUGGUAUUGGUUUUGUAAAAUUAUCUCAACAACAAAUGGUCUUGUUCAAGGCUUUCCAAAACGGGCGCUCGUACAUCAGGCACUCCCUGGCACGGAUUCGAGAGCGGUGACAGCAGAUCUGCAUUGGAAAUGAGCAGAUCACAUAACGUCUUAGGGAAAGGCAAAGUCUGGGCAUCAGAUGUUCCUGGGUCUUUAUUGUAUUUCUGAGAAUUUGCUGUGAAAAUGCA